AGUUAUCAAGCUUUAUGCAAGCAUAUGUUUUGAAAGCAUAAGACAGAAGUUUAAUUCUUCUAGUAACUU
rnacentral:tRNA from 1 species